UACGUAGGGUGCGAGCGUUAAUCGGAAUUACUGGGCGUAAAGCGUGCGCAGGCGGCUUCGCAAGUCAGACGUGAAAUCCCCGGGCUUAACCUGGGAAUGGCGUUUGAAACUACGAGCUGGAGUGUGGCAGAGGGAGGUAGAAUUCCACGUGUAGCGGUGAAAUGCGUAGAUAUGUGGAGGAAUACCGAUGGCGAAGGCAGCCUCCUGGGCCAACACUGACGCUCAUGCACGAAAGCGUGGGGAGCAAACAGG
rnacentral:rRNA from 1 species